rnacentral:rRNA from 1 species
UACAGAGGUCCCGAGCGUUGUUCGGAUUCACUGGGCGUAAAGGGUGCGUAGGUGGCGGUGGAAGUUUGAUGUGAAAGCUCAGGGCUUAACCCUGAAAUGGCAUUGAAUACCCCAUUGCUGGAGGUUUGGAGGGGGACUGGAAUUCUUGGUGUAGCAGUGAAAUGCGUAGAUAUCAAGAGGAACACCAGUGGCGAAGGCGAGUCCCUGGACAACACCUGACACUGAGGCACGAAAGCUAGGGGAGCAAACAGG